rnacentral:rRNA from 1 species
UACGUAGGGGGCAAGCGUUGUCCGGAUUUAUUGGGCGUAAAGAGCGUGUAGGCGCCAGACAGGUCCGUUGUGAAAACUGGAGGCUCAACCUCCAGACGUCGAUGGAAACCGUCUGGCUAGAGUCCGGAAGAGGAGAGUGGAAUUCCUGGUGUAGCGGUGGAAAUGCGCAGAUAUCAAGGAAGAACACCCGUGGCGAAAGCGGCUCUCUGGGACGGUACUGACGCUGAGACGCGAAAGCGUGGGGAGCGAACAGG